ACGGGAGGCAGCAGUGGGGAAUAUUGGGCAAUGGGCGAAAGCCUGACCCAGCAACGCCGCGUGAAGGAAGAAGGUCUUCGGAUUGUAAACUUCUUUUAUGAGGGACGAAGGACGUGACGGUACCUCAUGAAUAAGCCACGGCUAACUACGUGCCAGCAGCCGCGGUAAUACGUAGGUGGCAAGCGUUAUCCGGAUUUACUGGGUGUAAAGGGCGCGUAGGCGGGGAUGCAAGUCAGAUGUGAAAUCCAUGGGCUUAACUCAUGAACUGCAUUUGAAACUGUUGAUCUUGAGUAUCGGAGGGGCAAUCGGAAUUCCUAGUGUAGCGGUGAAAUGCGUAGAUAUUAGGAGGAACACCAGUGGCGAAGGCGGAUUGCUGGACGACAACUGACGGUGAGGCGCGAAAGCGUGGGGAGCAAACAGGAUUAGAUACCCUGGUA
rnacentral:rRNA from 1 species